rnacentral:miRNA from 1 species
GAAGAGUAUAGGGACUUAUGGCAU